GACGAACGCUGGCGGCGUGCCUAAUACAUGCAAGUAGAACGCACAGUUUAUACCGUAGCUUGCUACACCAUAGACUGUGAGUUGCGAACGGGUGAGUAACGCGUAGGUAACCUGCCUGGUAGCGGGGGAUAACUAUUGGAAACGAUAGCUAAUACCGCAUAAUAUUAAUUAUUGCAUGAUAAUUAAUUGAAAGGUGCAAUUGCACCACUACCAGAUGGACCUGCGUUGUAUUAGCUAGUAGGUGAGGUAACGGCUCGCCUAGGCGACGAUACAUAGCCGACCUGAGAGGGUGAUCGGCCACACUGGGACUGAGACACGGCCCAGACUCCUACGGGAGGCAGCAGUAGGGAAUCUUCGGCAAUGGACGAAAGUCUGACCGAGCAACGCCGCGUGAGUGAAGAAGGUUGUCGGAUCGUAAAGCUCUGUUGUAAGAGAAGAACGGGUGUGAGAGUGGAAAGUUCACACUGUGACGGUAUCUUACCAGAAAGGGACGGCUAACUACGUU
rnacentral:rRNA from 1 species